AUUGAACGCUGGCGGCAUGCCUUACACAUGCAAGUCGAACGGCAGCACGGGGCAACCUGGUGGCGAGUGGCGAACGGGUGGGUAAUGCAUCGGAACGUGCCAUUGAGUGGGGGAUAACGUAGCGAAAGUUGCGCUAAUACCGCAUAUUCUGUGAGCAGGAAAGCAGGGGACCGCAAGGCCUUGCGCUCUUUGAGCGGCCGAUGUCAGAUUAGCUAGUUGGUGAGGUAACGGCUUACCAAGGCGACGAUCUGUAGCGGGUCUGAGAGGAUGAUCCGCCACACUGGAACUGAGACACGGUCCAGACUCCUACGGGAGGCAGCAGUGGGGAAUUUUGGACAAUGGGCGCAAGCCUGAUCCAGCCAUGCCGCGUGAGUGAAGAAGGCCUCGG
rnacentral:rRNA from 1 species